rnacentral:tRNA from 3 species
GCAGUCGUGGCCGAGUGGUUAAGGCGAUGGACAAGAAAUCCAUUGGGGUCUCCCCGCACAGGUUCGAAUCCUGUCGACUGCG